CCUACGGGAGGCAGCAGGUCAGGAUCUUGCGCAAUGGGCGAAAGCCUGACGCAGCGACGCCGCGUGGGCGAUGAAGGACUUCGGGUCGUAAAGCCCUUUUCUGUGGGACGAUAAUGACGGUACCACAGGAAUAAGCCACGGCUAACUACGUGCCAGCAGCCGCGGUAAUACGUAGGUGGCUAGCGUUAUCCGGAUUCACUGGGCGUAAAGAGCGCGUAGGCGGUGUGCUAAGUUGGACGUGAAAGCCCCCGGCUUAACCGGGGGAGGUCGUCCAAUACUGGUGCACUUGAGGGUGGACGGGGAAAGCGGAAUUCCCGGUGUAGGGGUGAAAUGCGUAGAUAUCGGGAGGAACACCAGUGGCGAGGGCGGCUUUCUAGACCACUCCUGACGCUGAGGCGCGAAAGCGUGGGGAGCGAACGGGAUUAGAUACCCCUGUAGU
rnacentral:rRNA from 1 species